CGGUGUUUAACUGGCGUGAUGUGGGACGUCCUACCGGUGGGCUUAGCCUCGCGAGGGGCGGCCCAACUAAUAUCCCGUCGCGGUGCUCUUUACUGAGUGUCGAGUCGGGCCGGUACGUUUACUUUGAACAAAUUAGAGUGCUUAAAGCAGGCUAUCCUCGCCUGAAUACUGCGUGCAUGGGAAUAAUGGAAUAGGACCUCGGUUUCUAUUUUGUUGGUUUUCGGAACCCCCGAGGUAAUGAUUAAUAGGGACAGAUGGGGGCAUUCGUAUUGCGACGUUAGAGGUGAAAUUCUUGGAUCGUCGCAAGACGGACAGAAGCGAAAGCAUUUGCCAAAAAUGUUUUCAUUAAUCAAGAACGAAAGUUGGAGGUUCGAAGGCGAUCAGAUACCGCCCUAGUUCUAACCAUAAACGAUGCCAGCUAGCGAUCCGCCGAAGUUCCUCCGAUGACUCGGCGGGCAGCUUCCGGGAAACCAAAGCUUUUGGGUUCCGGGGGAAGUAUGGUUGCAAAGCUGAAACUUAAAGGAAUUGACGGAAGGGCACCACCAGGAGUGGAGCCUGCGGCUUAAUUUGACUCAACACGGGAAACCUCACCAGGCCCAGACACCGGAAGGAUUGACAGAUUGAUAGCUCUUUCUUGAUUCGGUGGGUGGUGGUGCAUGGCCGUUCUUAGUUGGUGGAGCGAUUUGUCUGGUUAAUUCCGAUAACGAACGAGACUCUAGCCUGCUAAAUAGGCGUACCUUAUGGUAUCGCGAAGGCCCCCGGCUUCGGCCGGUGGGUUUUUACUACCAACGUACAAACAAAUCUUCUUAGAGGGACAGGCGG
rnacentral:rRNA from 1 species